GUUACUAAUCAUGACUUGCUCCUCUUUAAUUUUUACUUUUAAUAAUAUUCAUAACUCUCAUAAUUUUUGUGUCCAUAACCUCCAAAUUAAAUUUGUAAGUUUAUGAUGUCUUGUGGUAUCCAUUUAUUUUGCCUAUAAAUUCAUAUUAGUUUAAUGAAGAUUCACAUUCACAUUCACAUUCACAAUUAUCCUUUCUCUUUUCAUCAUAUAGGUUUGGUUUGUAACAAAAAAAAGUAUGUAAAGGUAAGAAAUAUUUCAUUGCAAAUUUUUAUUUUUUAUUUUCUCUAUUUCUCUCUAUAUGUUUGUGAAUGAAACUAAAUGUAACCAAAAAAAGUACAUGAAGUUAAUAAAUAUAUCAUUCUCAAGUCCUUAUUUUUUUCAUUUCUUUUAUUUUGUUUAUAUGAAUUUAUAUUUAUUUUCAUGAAGAUUCACAUACAAAGUUAUAAUUUCUCUUCUUCAUAAUACUUUUUUGUAAAUUAACUAACAUGUAACCAAAAAAAAGUAUAUGAAGGUAAAAUAUAUUUCAUUCUAAAGUCUUUCUUUUUAUUUUUAUGUACUUGGACAUGCUUUCUUAAUUAUUAUUUUUUUAUGUUUGUAUUAUAAUUUAUUAAGUAAGUAUGAUUAAAAAAAUCUUUGUAAUUCUUAACAAUGUGUUGUCCGUAUGUAAUUGCUCUUUCUAAUAGUUAGUUUUCUAGAUUUAGUAUAGUUUGAUUAUAAUAUUUGUUAGAUUUCAAGAAAUAAUUAUUAUUUAGUAUUGUUAGUACUAUUGAAAAGAUAAUAUACAAAUAUAUUAAAUAUAAUUUAUAUUUCGUUCUUUCUUUUGACAUAAUUAUUUUUAAUUGGUAUAUGAUUUUUUUAAUUCAGUUGGUUGCAUAUAAUAAAGAGUUUGAUAUAUGGAUCAAAACAUGAUGACGGAUCUCUUUGCAAGAAGAUGGUACAAGGAAAAAAAAUGAAGCAUAAUUACAGAUUAUUUUUUCACUUUGAUUAAAUUUUGAUUUAUAUAAAUAAUUUAGCUAAAUAUAUUAUAUUGUCAAUGCUAAUUAUUUGAUCCUUUAGUAUUUCUACUUUCUUUUUGUUAUGAAAAAAAUUCGUAUAAUUAUUUCAUUUUAACAACAACAACAAAAUUUAUGAUGAUUAGUUUCAUUUUUAUUAUAAUUAUAAAAAGUAAUUGAAAAAUAAAAUAUUAUUUUCAUGAUGUUAUUUUUUGUGUAUGUAACAAUCUGUCACCGUUCUUUUUGCUUCGAAAUGUAUUUAUAAUUUUUAUGUAGUCACCAAUUAUUAUAUUUUCUCUGUUCAUUUUUUGUAUUUUCACCCCUUAUUUUAUUUAUUUAUUUUACAAAUAAAAUCAAUACAUAAUU
rnacentral:lncRNA from 1 species